AAAGCCUGAAAAGUAUCUGUUCUGUUUCUGCCUUUCAGGAACACCUAAUACACACAGAAAGUGGACACAGAAAACAUUUGAAAGUGUGAGGUUCCUACGUAACUAUAAAGAGACAGUACUGAUGCAGAUGCUGCCUCAGAUUCAGGAGAUCUCAGGCAGCAAACAGUCUCGUGGUCAGAUCAGUGCAGUGGCAGCAUGUUGGAUAGUGGGGGUUGUCCAGAGGAGGUGGGUCUGUCCCAUGUGUCGACUGCCUGAUGGAGAGAAGAGGGCACAGCACAGUGAGUAUGAAAGGACACAGAGUGCUAUGCAGACAGAGACUGCAGACAUGCAGCAACACAGAGCGGCAUAUAUGUUUAAAGAGGCUGCAGCAGCGUGGGGCUACUGAUGAGGUGUGUCAAGAAUGAAAUCUCUGGACACCUAAGAUUACAGACCUGUCAAACAUGUGACUGGACAGCAACCCCAAAUGACUUUGUGGUCCAGUUUGUAGAGCCUCACCAUGGUUUC